CCUACGGUGGGCAGCAGUGGGGGAUAUUGCACAAUGGGGGGAACCCUGAUGCAGCGACGCCGCGUGGGUGAAGAAGCGCCUCGGCGCGUAAAGCCCUGUCAGCAGGGAAGAAAAUUACGGUACCUGAAGAAGACGCCCCGGCUAACUCCGUGCCAGCCGCCACGGUAAUACGUAGGGGGCAAGCGUUAUCCGGGUUUACUGGGUGUAAGGGGGGUGCUGAAGGGGAUGCAAGCCAGGGGGGAAGGCCCGGGCCCCAACCCCGGGACUGCUGUUGGAACUGCUUGGCGGGAGUGCAGGAGGGGCGGGCGGAAUUCCUGGUGUAGCGGUGAAAUGCGUAGAUAUCAGGAGGAACACCGGUGGCGAAGGCGGCCUGCUAGACUGCAACUGACGUUGAGGCCCGAAAGCGUGGGGAGCAAACAGGAUUAGAUACCCCGGUAGUC
rnacentral:rRNA from 1 species